UCAUUGUAAAAUGAUCUGUUUUGCUGUUGUCGGGUGGAUCACGAUGCAAUUUUGAUGAGUAUCAUAGGAGAAAAAUUGCACGGUAUCCAUCUGUAAACCGCAGGACCUUUGUUGGCGACAUUCCU
rnacentral:pre_miRNA from 1 species